rnacentral:rRNA from 1 species
AUUGAACGCUGGCGGCAGGCCUAACACAUGCAAGUCGAGCGGAUGAAGAGAGCUUGCUCUCUGAUUCAGCGGCGGACGGGUGAGUAAUGCCUAGGAAUCUGCCUGGUAGUGGGGGACAACGUUUCGAAAGGAACGCUAAUACCGCAUACGUCCUACGGGAGAGAGUGGGGGAUCUUCGGACCUCACGCUAUCAGAUGAGCCUAGGUACGAUUAGCUAGUUGGUGAGGUAAAGGCUCACCAAGGCGACGAUCGUUAACUGGUCUGAGAGGAUGAUCAGUCACACUGGAACUGAGACACGGUCCAGACUCCUACGGGAGGCAGCAGUGGGGAAUAUUGGACAAUGGGCGAAAGCCUGAUCCAGCCAUGCCGCGUGUGUGAAGAAGGUCUUCGGAUUGUAAAGCACUUUAAGUUGGGAGGAAGGGCGGUAAGUUAAUACCUUGCUGUUUUGACGUUACCGACAGAAUAAGCACCGGCUAACUUCGUGCCAGCAGCCGCGGUAAAAC